rnacentral:ncRNA from 1 species
CCUACUGAAUUUAAGCAUAUUAGUCAGUGGAGGAAAAGAAAUUAACCUGGACUCCCUCAGUAACAGCAAGUGAACAGGGAAGAGUCCAGCAUUGAAUCCCUGCCCCACAGUAGGGUGCAGGAAAUGUGGCAUAUUGAAGACCCACUCCCCGGUGAUGCUCAUGGUGGGGCCCAAGUCCUUCUGAUUGAGGCCCAGCUCAUGGACGGUGUAAGGCUGGUAGUGGUCCCCAGUGUGCCAGGCCCAGGUCUUCCCAGAGUUGGGCUGCUUGGGAAUGCAGACGAAAGUGGGUGGUAAACUCCAUCUAUGGCUAAAUACUGGCAUGAGACCAAUAGUCAACAAGUACCAUAAGCGAAAGUUGAAAAGAACUUAGAAGAGAGACUUCAAGAGGGUAUGACCCGCUCUGGGGAUGGUAUCAAGUAGGGAGUUUGACUGGGGCAGUCAAGGCAUGUCUUACAU